rnacentral:rRNA from 1 species
GCUUGCUGGGGGGAUUAGUGGCGAACGGGUGAGUAACACGUGAGUAACCUGCCCUUGACUCUGGGAUAAGCCUGGGAAACUGGGUCUAAUACCGGAUAUGACUCCUCAUCGCAUGGUGGGGGGUGGAAAGCUUUUGUGGUUUUGGAUGGACUCGCGGCCUAUCAGCUUGUUGGUGGGGUAAUGGCCUACCAAGGCGACGACGGGUAGCCGGCCUGAGAGGGUGACCGGCCACACUGGGACUGAGACACGGCCCAGACUCCUACGGGAGGCAGCAGUGGGGAAUAUUGCACAAUGGGCGAAAGCCUGAUGCAGCGACGCCGCGUGAGGGAUGACGGCCUUCGGGUUGUAAACCUCUUUCAGUAGGGAAGAAGCCGCGAGGUGACGGUACCUGCAGAAGAAGCGCCGGCUAACUACGUGCCAGCAGCCGCGGUAAUACGUAGGGCGCAAGCGUUAUCCGGAAUUAUUGGGCGUAAAGAGCUCGUAGGCGGUUUGUCGCGUCUGCUGUGAAAGACCGGGGCUCAACUCCGGUUCUGCAGUGGGUACGGGCAGACU